ACUCUCUUCCUCUUCUUCAUCAUCUUCCUCGUCUCUAUCCUCGCCCGCUCAACCGAAAAGCUCGACGAGGCCAGACGAUCCAUCCAGCUAGCCACCGGCUUCGGGGUCGCCACAUUUUCUCCCGACGUUCGCGAUUUCGACGCCGUUUCAAAGGCGGUUGAUGAAUCGGGGCCGAUCGAUGUGUUAACUGUUAACCAAGGCGUGUUUAUUGGGCAACGCAGCGAUUGAUAUAAAGAAGCAACCAAAGAGAUCUGAGGCAACCCUUCUCUCCUCUAGUUUGUGGACACUGUAGUUGGAUUUUUGAUGGCUGGAGUUGGUAAUGUUGACAUAAGGAGGAAGACAAAUCACCUCAUCGUGGAUUCAAAAGGUGACAAAAGGUGACAAAAUCACCUUGGAAAUCUCAGUGCUGGAUUCCGAGCCUUGGAGGAUGAAACUCGGUAAGCUGUGUCCGUCUCCACCGCAAGUCUAAAAAUCAUCCCAAUUGGGUUGUUUUUGGAGAAAGAGGUUUCAUUCAUGUUCUCUUUCUUGUGUUUUUGAACCAAACAACUUACCAAUUGAUCAAUUUAGCCAUAUAUUAACUAAACAUGAUCUAUUAAAGUUUGUCAUUUUAAUGUUUA